UAUGUGGUUUAAUUCGAUGCAACGCGAAGAACCUUACCUGGUCUUGACAUCCCGGAGACCCUUAGGAAACUAGGGGUGCUUCCAUCUGGAAGAAUCUGGAGACAGGUGCUGCAUGGCUGUCGUCAGCUCGUGUCGUGAGAUGUUGGGUUAAGUCCCGCAACGAGCGCAACCCUUGCCUUUAGUUGCCAGCAGUUCGGCUGGGCACUCUAAAGGGACUGCCGGUGUUAAACCGGAGGAAGGUGGGGAUGACGUCAAGUCCUCAUGGCCUUUAUGACCAGGGCUACACACGUACUACAAUGGCCGAUACAAAGGGCAGCGACACUGCGAGGUGAAGCCAAUCCCGUAAAAUCGGUCUCAGUCCGGAUUGGAGUCUGCAACUCGACUCCAUGAAGUUGGAAUCGCUAGUAAUCGUGGAUCAGCAUGCCACGGUGAAUACGUUCCCGGGCCUU
rnacentral:rRNA from 1 species